rnacentral:tRNA from 1 species
AUGUGAGAAGCAAAAUUUUGCAUUUAGUUUCGACCUAAAAAUUUGGUAAAUUACCCUCACCUU